CCAAUAGCGUUGCAGUUAAAAGCUCGUAGUUGAAUUUCGGGGUUCUACCGUUGGUCGGGCUAUCCAGUUUGUACUAGCGUGUAGAAUUCCUACCUUCUGGAAAACCAUCAUGUUAUUAAUUUAGCGUGGUGGGAAACAGGACCUUUACAUUGAAAAAAUUAGAGUGUUCAAAGCAGGCUUACGUCUGAAUACAUUAGCAUGAAACAAUAAAAUAGGACGGUGGUCCUGUUUUGUUGGUUUCUGAAUCACCGUAAUGAUUAAUAGGGAUAGUUGGGGUCAUUAGCAUUCAAUUGUCUGAGGUAAAAUUAUUGGAUUGAGUGAAGACUAACUUCGCGAAAGCAUUUGCCAAGGAUGUUUUCAUUAAUCAAGAACGAAAGUUAGGGGAUCGAAGACGAUCAGAUACCGUCGUAGUCUUAACCAUAUACUAUGUCGACUAGGGAUCGAACGAUGUUAAAUUUUAUUGACUCGUUCAGCGCCUUACG
rnacentral:rRNA from 1 species